GGCUCUGUGGUGCAAUGGAUAGCACAUUGGGUUGCUAAUUCAAAGGUUGUGGGUUCAAGUCCCACCAGAGUCA